GCCAGUGUAACGCAGUGGGUUGAGCACUGGACUAUGAUUCUGGACAACAGGGUUUGAACCCCUGCUCAGCCA